UGGGGAAUUUUGGACAAUGGGCGAAAGCCUGAUCCAGCAAUGCCGCGUGUGUGAAGAAGGCCUUCGGGUUGUAAAGCACUUUUGUCCGGAAAGAAAUCCUUGGCUCUAAUACAGUCGGGGGAUGACGGUACCGGAAGAAUAAGCACCGGCUAACUACGUGCCAGCAGCCGCGGUAAUACGUAGGGUGCAAGCGUUAAUCGGAACUACUGGGCGUAAAGCGUGCGCAGGCGGUUUGCUAAGACCGAUGUGAAAUCCCCGGGCUCAACCUGGGAACUGCAUUGGUGACUGGCAGGCUAGAGUAUGGCAGAGGGGGGUAGAAUUCCACGUGUAGCAGUGAAAUGCGUAGAGAUGUGGAGGAAUACCGAUGGCGAAGGCAGCCCCCUGGGCCAAUACUGACGCUCAUGCACGAAAGCGUGGGGAGCAAACAGGAUUAGAUACCCUGGUAGUCCACGCCCUAAACGAUGUCAACUAGUUGUUGGGGAUUCAUUUCCUUAGUAACGUAGCUAACGCGUGAAGUUGACCGCCUGGGGAGUACGGUCGCAAGAUUAAAACUCAAAGGAAUUGACGGGGUCAUAGCUGUUUCCU
rnacentral:rRNA from 1 species